AACGAACGCUGGCGGCAGGCUUAGCACAUGCAAGUCGAACGGGUGUAGCAAUACAUCAGUGGCGCACGGGUGAGUAACGCGUGGGAACAUGCCCUUGAGUACGGAACAACCUCGGGAAACUGAGGCUAAUACCGUAUAAUGUCUUCGGACCAAAGAUUUAUCGCUCAAGGAUUGGCCCGCGUUAGAUUAGCUAGUUGGUGAGGUAACGGCUCACCAAGGCGACGAUCUAUAGCUGGUCUGAGAGGAUGACCAGCCACACUGGGACUGAGACACGGCCCAGACUCCUACGGGAGGCAGCAGUGAGGAAUAUUGGACAAUGGAGGAAACUCUGAUCCAGCCAUGCCGCGUGAGUGAUGAAGGCCUUCGGGUUGUAAAGCUCUUUUACCCCUGACGAUAAUGACGGUAAGGGGAGAAAAAGCCCCGGCUAACUACGUGCCAGCCGCCGCGGUAA
rnacentral:rRNA from 1 species